GUGCUCACUUUGGCAGCACAUAUACUGAAAUUGGAAUGAUACAGAGAAGAUU
rnacentral:snRNA from 1 species